AGUAUGACGUUUGCCUUUUCGUUGUGUUUGUGCUUCUAAUCUGAUAAAAUAAUUAUUUUGAGUUAAUUGUUGUGUUACAUUUGUGUGUAGCGUUCGUUAGUUGUGUUGAGAUCGUCUCGUAGAAUAGUUUGAGUGUGGUGACACCUCAUGUGAUAAAAAUAGCAUUAACGUCAUUAAUUAUGUUUAAUUAGUUCCCCAUACAAUACAAUACAUGACUAAAAUGUGAUACAACAAUCGUAAGACUGAAAAUAGGUUGUUAUUCAAUCGAAGAUGAGUGAAAACGAAGACAAUGAAUUGGACCCUCGAAUACAGAUCGAACUCGAGAAGCUCAACACCACCACAGAUGAAAUCAAUCGACUAGAAAUAGAAUACGAUGAAGCCAACACCACUUUCCGAAUGCUCCUAAACGAGUCGACUCGAAGGCUCAAAAUCUUGUCCAAAAAACUCGGUAGUUGUAUCGAGCGUGCGAGGCCUUAUUACGAAGCAUUAGAGAUAGCGAAAAAGGCACAACAAGAGUGCCAGAAAGCUGCUGUUCAAUUCCAGAGAGCUAAUGAAAUUCAUGCAGCAGCUAAGGAAACCGUGGCUUUGGCUGAACAAAGGUUUUUGAGUAAUCAACAUGAGUGGCAGUUUGAUAAUGCCUGGCAGGAGAUGCUCAAUCAUGCCACAAUCAAAGUCAUGGAAGCGGAAAAUCAAAAAGCGGAAAGCGGCCGCGAACACCAACGUCGCGCCACCAUCUUCAAAACGGCCGAAGACUGCGUUAAACAACUCGAAAGCCGUCUCCAAAAAUCCAUAAUUAAAUCGCGCCCCUACUUCGACGAAAAAUCCCUCUGCCAACAGCAACUCAACACGCAAAAAGAUCGCAUCGAGACAAUAAAACGCGACAUCGUCAAAACCAAAUCCUCCUACGCGCAAACCCUCAAACAACUCGAGCAAAUCUCCAACGAGAUCCACAUGAAGCGGGGCAGCGUCACCGAAGACAUCCUGCGAGGACCGCGUGAACCAGGAGUCGGUGCUGAAUUAGCGCCAUCGCAUGACGAACUCGGGCACAAAAAUCAUUCCUCCUUGCCGGAUUUCAAUCUCGAGCUGGAGAAGUGCGAGUUGAGGAGUUGCGGUUCGAGUUCGACUGUGAGCGAAAAGGAGGAGUUGAGUGAGGAUUUGGACGAGUUGAAGGUGAAGUUUAAGGAGUUGGCAACGCGGCCGGUUAAUGGAGGGGAGGGGGAGAGUAUGGAUGGGGUGUGGGAGUCGGAAUUGAAGUCUACUGUGGAGAAGAUGGACCAUAUGAUGUUGCUGCAAGAGUGCGCUCAAGAAUUGGACCACUACAAGUCUGAAAUUAAAGAUAAGGUUAUCGAGACUUAAGUGUCGUUUAUCGUAGAGUAGAGAUACAACGAGACUAGUGUUUUUUAUUGUUUCGAGGACUUUAGGUAAAAAAAACAGUAUUGUGUUAGUUAUCUCGGUUCAAAUACGGAGGACUUAUUUGGAGGCGAAACGAGCUUUAAGAUUUAAAACUCAAAAAUUUUUAAUGCUGUUUUACAAAAAGUUUUGGGAAACAGAAAUGUUUUAGCGCUUUACAUUUUCCAAAACAUUGCUAAUAUGGUUAAAGUUAUAAAAAAUACUGGAAACUACUUAAUUUUUUACAAUUUGCAAACUUGGGAACCACUAAAUGUCCUUACCAGUAUGAUUUCUUUCUUAAGGUGGAUUUUAUAAUCGUCGGAUCCCGAGUAGCACAGUUUUACUGAAUUAUCUUUCGGUUAUAUAACGUUAUAUAACCGUAAUACACAAAUCUAACCAUUGGUUAUGUUAGACUCAGUUUAUAUAACGGUUAUCUAACCAUGUUUAGCGUCUAUAACCAUGAUUAUAUUACGAUUAGAUAACCGUUAUGUUUCUUAAGCAAUAUGGCCCAAACUAAAUUUAGGUUAUAUAUCAGCGUUCUAAUCAUGGUUAGGUCUAGCGUAUACAGCAAAGGUUAUGUGACGGUUAUAUAACUGCUAUGUAUGUAAUGCAAUAUAGCGUAUGCUAGAUUCAGUUUAUAUAUCGGUGAUCUAAGCAUGGUUAUGUUACAGUUAUGUUUAAUAUUCGCCGGCAUUUUAUAAUAAUAAUUACAAAACAAAAUAAGUGAUCUAAGGAAUUUUUGGUUAUAUAGUAGAAAAUUAUCUAGUUUUUUGGUCGUAAAAUUCAUUCAACCGUGAUUUUUGCUUUUUCUUUACUUCUACGUGUUGCAAACACGUUAAUCGUCAUCUAUAUUUGUUGUUUAUCAUGUAAGUAGAGUACAAUUUGAGUUUAUACUUAAUUGAAAGCUGAAAAAAGUUUCCAUAAAUGUAUUUUUGUCUUGACCACAAAAAAAUGAAUCUGUCAAAACCAAAGCAAAUUAUUCUAAGAAUGAAUGUUUUCUCACUUUCUACCUGCCGACCCUUUAAUCCUACAAUUUUAAGCUGGGUUCGGAGAAUUUGUCCAAAGCUGAGAAAACAAUGAAGAAAACAGUAAACAAUACGUUUUUGAAAAUAAUAAUACUUUAGUUGCUGAUAACUGUAAUUUGUAACAAGUUUGACAAACUCUUGUUCUUUGGAGGAAAAAGAUAACACUGACUACGUUAGAAGUUUUGUCGUAAGAUGGCAUUUCAUCUUUCCUAUUACUCCUACAGCAUCUUCGGUCUUAACAUAAAUAGUUCUGUGUUAGUUCUGGUCAUCGAACAUUUUCUUGCAGAAGUUAUUUCUAAAAAUUCUUUUGGAAUUUCUCAACAAGGAAUCAACAAUACACUGAACAAUAUUUGUUGUGCACUAGUGAUGUUCUGCACCCUAAAGAUGCUGGGUAGAAGCACUCAUUUAUUUAUCCUAAAUAUUUAGAAUUUUAAUUUGUAUUAAAAUCUACUACGUGUUUUUUUAAAUAAACUUUAGGCAAAAGUUAUAUAAGGGCAAUAUAAUGGUUAGAUCACUAAGCAUAACCGAAAUAUAACCGAGAUGUAAAGGGAAUUAUAUAACCGAACUAUAACCACGCGUAGAUAAAGGUUAGAUAAAGACACACAUCCGCAAUAUAACCGAGAUAUAAGAGGAGUUAUAUAACCGCAACAUAACCACGCGUAGGUAACUGUUAGAUAAAGUGGUUAACUAACAGUUAGCUUAUAAAAGCGUCACAUUUGGGAAUUGGCGGUUAUAUUGGAAGGUUUAAUCUCGGUUAUACAAGUGUGCUACUAGGGAUAACUUUAUCCUGGGAAAUAACUUUUGAAAAAUAAAUUGUUGUAACAACUGUAACCAUAGUAAUUAUAACAGGAAUGAACUGUGGUUUAUCUGACGAUUGUAAAAUCCACUCUUAAGAAAAGAGCAAAUAAAGUACUUUACAUUGGCUCAAAUUGCCGAUGAUAUUUGUUUUGACUUUCUCACUUAAAAAUCUGUCUAAAAGGCUUUGAAACUUUGACCGGAUAUGACGAUUUUUUUCACUGGUUUUUUCAGAUAAGUUGAAGUUUUCCGAUUCUUCGCUUAUCGAACGGUUUUAUACCUUGCAAACUGCUCAUAACUCCAUAAACAGUUUCGUUGAAAGGUUUUGAAUUUGAACGAUUUCUGGUUUAAAAACGAAAAAAAUUGCUUUAGAAAGGCUAAAAUUAUUUUAUUCUGGGCUUUUGACUUUGACAAGUAUUUGCUUAAAAAUGUAAGCGUUUGUUUAAGAAGGCUCAAAACGCCUUAUUCUGGUCAAAAAAUUACAAUUUACAUACCGGUUUAGUUGAAAAUUUGAUUUCAAACAACUUCUUGCUUAAUGACAAAAAAUCGCCAUAGAAAAGAUAAAAACGCUUUUUUUGGGAACAAACCACUUUGAAAAUACUUGAUUCUGAACAUGUCUUUAAAACAAGGACAAAAAUGCUUAGAAAGGCUGAAAUCGUCAUUUUCUUUUAAAAAUUUACGAUUUAUGCACCAUUUUAGGUGAAAACAUGAUUUUGUACAAUUUCUUGUUUAAAAAGGAAAAUAAUCGCUUUAGAAAUACUAAAAUCGUCUUGUUCUUGCCAAAAACAACGUCCAAAUUAAUGGAAAAGACUUGAGUCUGAACAAUUCCCUGCUCUAAAAAGGCUAAAAUCGACCAGUUUAGUUGAAAACAUUUGAUUUCGAAUAAGCCCUUGCUUAAUAACAAUAAAAAUCGCUCUAAGAGGCCUGAUUUUUUUGGAUUUCUAAUGAGUCUGGCCACAAAUAACGAUCUACUUAUUAUUUGUGAGAAAAUAAGUUGAUUUCUAACACUUUUUCGCUUAGAAGUCAGUCAAAAAUGUUUUGGAAUGGUUCAGAUCUCCUUCUUUUGCCCCAAGACAAUGAUUUUUGUAUUAGCCUUGUUAAAAUAAGUUGAUUUUUAAUGAUACCUCGUUAUUUAUCAGUCAAUAAAUUUAACUAAAAUAUGAUUGCAAUUAAAUGUUUUGUAAACUGGUCCUUUAUACUUUUAAUAGAUUAUAGUAAAUACUAAGGAAGCAGUUCCUAAAUAAAAAAAUCAAUAAAAAAAUAUCUACAUGUUUAACGUAGCAGCAAAAAUUCUUCAGCUGUAAUAUCACAAAAGAGUAAGAAUAAAUUAAAAUAAUUUGAUAGAUCUUUUUGAAAGCGUGUUGCAAGUCUAUAGAAAAUUAAAAAACAUCUAAGCAAGAAUUCUUGAAAAAAUCUUUUCUUGACUUAGCAAAAAAUAUAAAAGAUUGUAAAAAGGUUUAGUGGAUUGUCCAAAAUAAUUAUGACCUUGUGAAAGACAUUUGAGAGUUGGAGGAAACUAAAAAUUCAUUCAGAAAAACCAGAUUAAAAAAUUUUAUACUUUUCAACGAAACAAAACUUACAAUAAAAAAAUAUAUUAAAGGAAAAAAAAUAGAUUUUAAGCUGAGAAAAGUUACAAAUUAUAAACAAAUUGUAAGGAACAAAAAUGUAGGAAAUUUUCGCAGCGUUUUGAAAAUAUGUGGCGUAUUUUGCGUUUUACUUUAUUCUUUUUUAUUUCUUGCUAUUAAAUUUAAUGUUAAGUUUUAAGUUGUAAUAAGUGAUAUUUGAACAUCGUGUCGCCUCCUCUAGUCCUCUAUGACUAAAUCAAAUCUUUAAAUGGAAUUAGCCUAAUUUUGGAUAAGGAUUGAUGAUCAAGCUCAAAGCUGUGAAAAAAUCGGCCAGUUUUGGCAGUUUUGAUAUUUUAACAUUUGCGUGUGAUAAUGCAAUUGGAUUUUUGUGUUUUAAUUUUGAAGCAUGGGCGUGGCAGAUUUAGUCCAAACAAUUCGGUGCUAUUGUUAAAAAAGUGUUAAAUUUUUUUUAAACGAAAUAUUGAGUUUGUUUCAGUUUUUUUGUUGUUUUAUUAAGGUGCCUCAACUGGAAACAAAUAAAUAAUUGAAUGAUUUUUUUAUUUAAAUGUGAGAAUUAAGCUUCUUUUUCCAACAGCAAUAAUUUGCUUCCAAAUUAAAAUUUGUUAAAUGAAAUCCUCACAUGUUUCGAAAAGCUGAGUCGGCAAUAUGAUGACGUUUGAAACAACAACCUCAUUUCGAAACGUAGUUUUUAUUGCGGAAUAUUAUUUUGGAAUUGUUUUGUUGAAAUAAUUUGUUCUUUGUUAGAAACGAACCAAAUCGUCUGGAAAUGGCUUAACUCGUCUUAUUUUGAUCGAUUACCAAUUGAGUAACCGAUUAAAUAAUUAAUUAAAAUAACUAAAUUUUAUGUAUUUAUAAAUCUUAUUUGUGGUAAUUGAAUCACCAAAGGGAACAUUGCCAAGCCUAGACGUUGAAUACUUGUGAUAAUUAUCUAAUCGAGGAAUUUAAAAAAGAUAAAAUUAUCGAUUAUAGCAGAAAUAACGUCAUUGUGAUUGUUUUACAUUGAUCAGAUCUGAAAAUACUAUAAUCUGAUUGUUGUUGAAAUAUAAAGAAAAAAUUGUGGCGUUAGUGUUGCCACGUCCAUGUUUUAAGUACAAAUAAUGUACCAUACGAUGUUUAUUUGUAUGUGCAAUUAAUUUUACUUCACUAACAUUAUUUUUGUAUCGCAUUUUUUUAACGUACCCAGUACAAAAAAUAAAAGAAUCAUCUAACAUAA